rnacentral:rRNA from 1 species
AAGAUGAUAUUAAAAUUUAUAUUUAUGUAGAUUUAAUUAAUAUAAGUAAUUUUAUUAAAAUUUUGUAGUAUAGUUUAUAGAAUAAAGUAGAUAGUUGAUAAAUUAAUAGUACUGUAAAGGAAAUAUGAAAUAUUUUGAAAUAUUUAUUGAAUAUAAAAAAGAAUAGAAUUUUGUACCUUGUGUAUCAGGGUUUAUUAAUAUAGAGAAAUUUAAUUUAGGUAUCCCGAAUUGGAAUGAGUGAAAGUAAAAAGUUUAGUUAAUGUGGCAUAAUUAUUAAUAAUUUUAUUUUUGUAAUGAAAUGUUAUUCGUCUUCUAAUAUAUCUGGUUUUUUAAGAGAUAAAUUUAAUUUACUUAUUAAAAGUAUUUUUAUAUUUUUGAAUGAUUUAUUUUUAGUAAGAUAUAUAUAAGGGGAUAAGCUCUUAUAUAAUGAUUAUAAUAAUUUAUAAUAUUUAAAUAAGUAGGCUUUAAAUUAGCUUUCGAUUGAAAAAUGUUAUAAUUUUUUUAAUUUAUAAUGUAAUUUGUAAUAAUUAUUUAAUUGGUAUAUUAAAAUAUUAAGAUUAAUUAGAUAACUUAAGUAAUAAUGAUAAAAUAAGUAUAUAAUAUUUGUAAUAAUAUUAAUUAUUGGUAAAUUUAUAAAAAGGAACUAGGCAAAUAUUUUUCUCGUCUGUUUAUCAAAAACAUUUCUUUUGGUGUUAAUCUAAGGUAAGGCCUGCCCACUGAAAAGUAAGUUGAAGGGCCGCGGUAUUAUGACCGUGCAAAGGUAGCAUAAUCAUUAGUCUUUUAAUUGAGGGCUGGAAUGAAUGGUUUGACGAAGUAAAAACUGUCUUAUUAUAAUAAUUAGAAGUUAACUUUUAAGUGAAAAGGCUUAAAUGCGUAUAGAGGACGAGAAGACCCUAUAGAGUUUUAUAUAUUUAUGUAAUUAUUAAUUAAGUUGAUUAUAAAUAAUUAUUUAAUAUAUAUAUUUUGUUGGGGUGACAUAAAGAUAUAAUGAACUCUUUAUUUUAUUAACAUUGAUUUAUGGAUAAUUGAUCCAUUUUUAAUGAUCAAAAGGUUAAGUUACCUUAGGGAUAACAGCGUAAUUUUCUUUAAGAGUUCGUAUCAACAAGGAAGAUUGCGACCUCGAUGUUGGAUUAAGAAUAUAAUUAGAUGCAGCAGUUUAAUUUAUAGGUCUGUUCGACCUUUGAAUUCUUACAUGAUCUGAGUUCAGACCGGUGUAAGCCAGGUCGGCUUCUAUCCUUAUAAUAUUAAUAUAAUUUAGUACGAAAGGACCAAUUAUUUUAAAUAAUUUAUUUUUAAUGAUGAAUUUUA